CGAACGGGUGAGUAACGCGUGGGCAACCUGCCCCUCGCUCUGGGACAACUCCGGGAAACCGGGGCUAAUACCGGAUAUGAUCAGCUCGGGCAUCUGGGUUGGUGGAAAGUUUUUCGGCGAGGGAUGGGCCCGCGGCCUAUCAGCUUGUUGGUGGGGUGAAGGCCUACCAAGGCGACGAUCCGUAGCUGGUCUGAGAGGACGAUCAGCCACACUGGGACUGAGACACGGCCCAG
rnacentral:rRNA from 1 species